AAGAGAACUCUUCUGCUUUCCGCUGCCGUUUUGCCUUUUCCCCUAAACAAAACCUCGAGGAACUUACCAGAAGCACAGACGAAAUAGAAGCAAAAACUUUUCAGUACGAUAGAGAUGUCGAAAACACUGGUACAGCCGAUAGGCCAAAAGCGACUUACGAAUGUCGCCGUUGUGCGUCUCAAGAAGCACGGUAACCGGUUUGAAAUCGCCUGUUAUAAGAAUAAAGUCCUCUCAUGGCGUUCUGGCGUAGAGAAAGACUUGGAUGAAGUGUUGCAGUCACAAACUGUAUACUCAAAUGUGUCUAAGGGUGUACUUGCUAAGUCUAAAGAUUUAAUUGCUGCUUUUGGAACUGAUGAUCAGUCCAAAAUCUGCUUGGAGAUUUUGGACAAAGGAGAGCUGCAAGUUGCAGGAAAGGAGAGGGAAUCACAGUUUUCAAGUCAGUUCAGGGAUAUUGCUACUAUAGUUAUGCAGAAGACAAUCAAUCCUGAAACUCAGCGACCAUACACAAUUAGCAUGAUUGAGCGGCUGAUGCAUGAAAUCCAUUUUGCUGUUGAUCCAAAUAGCAGCUCAAAGAAACAGGCACUAGAGGUCAUCCGGGAGCUUCAAAAGCACUACCCCAUUAAUCGGGCUCCCAUGAGGCUGAGGAUACAUGUACCGGAACAGAGGAGCCCUUCCGUGUUGGACAAGCUGAAGGAAUGGAACGCCUCCAUUGUCUCAAGAGAAGAAUCUGGAAGUCAGCACUCCAUAAUUUGUGAGAUUGAGCCUAGUCUUUUCCGGGACUGUGAUGCCUUGGUCAGGAAUUUACAGGGGAGGUUGGAAAUUCUUGCAGUCAAUGUACAUGUGGAAGGAGAUACCUUUGUUGAUCAGUACGAUGAUCACGAGGACGAGCCAUCGAGUUUACGGAAGGAUUCUACAGGUUCAGUCCUUCAGCUGAGUGAGAAAAUGCAAAAGCAGACCAUUUCUUCAGAAAGUGGCAAUUCCAGGGGAGAAGUAAAACUUAACAAACCUGCCAAAGCUGGGAGUUCUGAGGGUGAAGUAAAACUGAACAAGUGCACUACUUGCAACGCUGUUGUGGGAGAUUCAAAAGAAUACAGAGAGCAUUUUAAGAGUGACUGGCAUAAGCAUAAUCUUAGGCGUAAAACUAGGCAACUCCCUCCACUUACAGUGGAAGAAUGUAUGGCAGACCUGGAACUUGGAGACUCGAAGGCUGAUCUUAAAGAAUAUUCAUUUUAAGGCUGCUGCAGUGGACAGAAUACUACAAUGUUAGAGCUGAGGCGUAAUGACCAGAUUAUGGUCUAAAUCAUAUUGAUAAUGGUUGCUCAAGCUAGAAUUUAUCUUUCUACUAAGAGGAUUCCUUAUGCAGAAUGACACCUGGUUGUUGUAAUGUAACACGGUAGAUAAUAGUGCAUAAAUGGUCCCCACUAUCUGCAUUAAGUUGAGCCAUAGUAAAUUGUUUUGAUGCAACUGUUGCUAAUGGUCAGGAUUGAUACUGCACAAGUGAGGCAUGUUGUGUUAUGCAUCCAUAGUGGCCGAAUUUUCGUUAAGAAAUCUGUGAGAGGUAUUUUGUUUGGCUAACAGGUAUAUUGUGGUGCUUUAUUGUACAUGAACUGGUUUUCCGUUUGACAAGUAAUUGUUGGAUUGAACUAAGCUUGUACAAUGAUAAUUGUUAAUACCAUCUGGUAUAGCUAGUGAAUGUGGUAAAGGAUAUUUUAACG